rnacentral:rRNA from 1 species
AUUGAACGCUGGCGGCAUGCCUAACACAUGCAAGUCGAACGGGGCAGCAAUGCCUAGUGGCGGUCGGGUGAGGAAUACGUAGGAAUCUGCCCUUAAGAGGGGGAUAACCAGGGGAAACCCUGACUAAUACCGCAUGAUCUCUUCGGAGCAAAGAGGGGGACCGCAAGGCCUCUCGCUUCUGGAUGAGCCUACGUCUGAUUAGCUAGUUGGUAGGGUAAAGGCCUACCAAGGCGACGAUCAGUAACUGGUCUGAGAGGAUGAUCAGUCACACCGGAACUGAGACACGGUCCAGACUCCUACGGGAGGCAGCAGUGGGGAAUAUUGGACAAUGGGCGAAAGCCUGAUCCAGCCAUGCCGCGUGUGUGAAGAAGGUCUUCGGAUUGUAAAGCACUUUAAGUUGGGAGGAAGGGCAUUAACCUAAUACGUUAGUGUUUUGACGUUACCAACAGAAUAAGCACCGGCUAACUUCGUGCCAGCCGCCGCAGUAAGAC